rnacentral:rRNA from 1 species
AUUGAACGCUGGCGGCAGGCCUAACACAUGCAAGUCGAGCGGAUGACGGGAGCUUGCUCCUUGAUUCAGCGGCGGACGGGUGAGUAAUGCCUAGGAAUCUGCCUGGUAGUGGGGGACAACGUUUCGAAAGGAACGCUAAUACCGUAUACGUCCUACGGGAGAAAGCAGGGGACCUUCGAGCCUUGCGCUAUCAGAUGAGCCUAGGUCGGAUUAGCUAGUAGGUGAGGUAAUGGCUCACCUAGGCGACGAUCCGUAACUGGUCUGAGAGGAUGCUCAGUCACACUGGAACUGAGACACGGUCCAGACUCCUACGGGAGGCAGCAGUGGGGAAUAUUGGACAAUGGGCGAAAGCCUGAUCCAGCCAUGCCGCGUGUGUGAAGAAGGUCUUCGGAUUGUAAAGCACUUUAAGUUGGGAGGAAGGGCAGUAAGUUAAUACCUUGCUGUUUUGACGUUACCGACAGAAUAAGCACCGGCUAACUCUGUGCCAGCCGCCGCCGUAAGAC